rnacentral:lncRNA from 1 species
CUGGAGGAGUCUUGAGGACACUAUGGAAGGUCGAACAUUAGAGGAGUCUGGGAUUUAAUUCUAUUGUAGAAGUCUGGACGGAGUUCGGCUCUUGUUGGAGUCUGGAUGAAGUCCGAUUAUUGUAGAAGCUCGGAUGAAGACUAGUUAUCGUAGAAGCUCGGAUGGAGACUUCUUAUUGUAGAAGCUCGGAUGAAGUCCACUUGCAAUAGAAGUCCAGAGUAGAGAUCCGAC